rnacentral:rRNA from 1 species
GCCCUAUGAAUAAUAUUUAAAUGGCCGCAGUAUAUUGACUGUGCAAAGGUAGCAUAAUCACUUGUUUCUUUAUUAGAAACUAGAAUGAAAGGAUCGACGAAGAAUAAUCUUUUUUACUAAUACAUUAAAUUGACAUAAAAGUUAAAAGGCUUUAAUAAACCAGGGGGACGAUAAGACCCUAUAAAACUUUACUUCUCCUAUAAUACAUUAAGACUUGAAUUAAAUAAGAAGUUAAACUGGGGCGGUUAGCAUAUAAACUAUACUAGUUAAAAUAUAAAAAAUAAAUUUAAAUAACUCUUUAAGAAUUUAAAUAAGUUACUUUAGGGAUAACAGCAUAAUCUCCCGAGAGAGUCCAUAUCGGCCGGGGAGUUUAUGACCUCGAUGUUGAAUUGAAAUUACUUUUGUAAGCAGAAAUACAAAUAGUCA